rnacentral:rRNA from 1 species
GAUGAACGCUGGCGGCGUGCUUAACACAUGCAAGUCGAACGGUGAAGCAGGAGCUUGCUCCUGUGGAUCAGUGGCGAACGGGUGAGUAACACGUGAGCAACCUGCCCCUGACUCUGGGAUAAGCGCUGGAAACGUCGUCUACUACUGGAUAUGUGAUGUGACCGCAUGGUCUGCAUCUGGAAAGAAUUACGGUUGGGGAUGGGCUCGCGGCCUAUCAGCUUGUUGGUGAGGUAAUGGCUCACCAAGGCGUCGACGGGUAGCCGGCCUGAGAGGGUGACCGGCCACACUGGGACUGAGACACGGCCCAGACUCCUACGGGGGGAAGCAGUGGGGAAUAUUGCACAAUGGGCGGAAGCCUGAUGCAGCAACGCCGCGUGAGGGAUGACGGCCUUCGGGUUGUAAACCUCUUUUAGCAGGGAAGAAGCGAAAGUGACGGUACCUGCAGAAAAAGCACCGGCUAACUACGUGCCAGCCGCCGCCGUAA